rnacentral:rRNA from 1 species
GAUCCUGGCUCAGGAUGAACGCUAGCUACAGGCUUAACACAUGCAAGUCGGAGGGGCAGCAUGGUCUUAGCUUGCUAAGGCUGAUGGCGACCGGCGCACGGGUGAGUAACACGUAUCCAACCUGCCGUCUACUCUUGGCCAGCCUCCUGAAAGGAAGAUUAAUCCAGGAUGGCAUCAUGAGUUCACAUGUCCGCAUGAUUAAAGGUAUUUUCCGGUAGACGAUGGGGA